CUUUUCCCGCACCGGUGGCCGGACUCUGCAUGAGUCACCGCCUGCCUGCAAGCCCAGAGCUCGCCGCACCCCCCUGCCUCUCCGCACCGUCCCACAGGCUGUGACCCUCCACCCAGCCAUAGACGGUUCUGCUCUUGGCACAAAGGAGGGCUUCUUAGCCGGGAAUAUGGCUGCCCGGGAGGGGCGACUUCUGUGCUUGUUUUUCCUUCCUGGCACUGAAAACAAGCACAUCCACCCAACAAAUAAAGACGCGGUCAAUGAAAGCAGCUGUGUUUCAAGGGGAGACAGGGAGCAAGCCAAGGAAUAAAUGAAAAGACCCAGUGACAAAAUGCCCAUUCAUCGGGUUCACUCGGCAAACAUUUACUGAAGCAUCUGUGUGCCAGGCACUGUCCUGAGUGCUGGGAAGACACAAAGAUGCCCUUCAGAACGAUGACCCCCGCCUCGCCCUCCGCUGGAACCGGGAGGCAGACACACACAUAAAUACGACACAGUCAACCGUCCCCAGUUCACAGCAUCUAAAGGAGCUAGGAAUGCAUGGGAUGCUUAUGGAAUGUGCGAGAACACGGAGACAAAGUCUCACUGUGUUCCCAGGCUGAUCCCCAACUCCUGAGCUCAAGCCAGCCACCAGCCUUGGCCUCCCAAAGUGCUGGGAUUACAGGCGUGAGCCACCACGCCGGGCCCAGAUGAACAGUCUUAUGAAUCAAUUUCAUUUCCAAGAGCCCUGUUGGGUAAGUAGCCCAAUUUCUGAACACUCCUCUCUUGAAGCUGUUGCUAAGAACCCACCAUCCCCAGCUUCUCAGCAUGGUAGGAACCAUGACUUAGCCAUUGCCUCCUCUAUGCCUAGUACUAUCCUAGGUCCUUCUUUAAACCAUUUCUAUCCCUCACAGUAACCCCAUGAGGAAGAUAUUAUUUCAAAGUCAGGCUGAGGAGGCCAAACAUCAGACCAGUUGUGUAACUUGCCCCCGGGUCCAUGCAGUGGGUUGAGAGUGAAACCAGGAUUCCUGGCAUAAAGUCUGCGCUUUUCCCACUCAUUCCACGUAGCUCCUAGUGCUUUCUUCCAUGGCGAUGGCAUUGAAGUGCAGAUCCGUCUUCUCAGUCCUGACUCCUAGACUUUUCCCUCCAACCCCCAAGGUGAUGGGAUAAAGAGAUAGGGCCUUUGGGAAGUUAGUGCUGUUAUUAAAAAGGCCCCAGGCUGGGUGCAAUAGCUCACGCCUAUAAUCCCAGCACUUUGGGAGGCUGAGACAGGUAGAUCACCUGAGGUCAGGAGUUCGAGACGAGCCUGGACAACAUGGUGAAUCCCCGUCUCUACCAAAAAUACAAAAAUUAGCUGGGCAUGGUAGCACACACCUAUAGUCCCAGCUGCUUGGGAGGCUGAGGCAGGAGAAUCUCUGGAACCCAGGAGGUGGAGGUUGCAGUGAGCCGAGGUUUCAGUGAGCCGAGAUUGCGUCAUUGCACUCCAGCCUAGGUGACAGAGCAAGACUCCAUCUCCAAAAAAAAAAAAAAAAAUUAAAAGGCGCCAGAGAGCUGCUUUCUCCUUCAGCCACAUAAGGGCACAACAACAAGGUGCCACGAAGCAAAGAGCCCUCACCAGACAUGGAAUCUGCGGGCGCCUUCUCAGCCUCCAGAACUAUCAGCAAUAAAUUUCUGUUGUUUAUAAAUUCCCCAGUCUAAGAUACUUUGUUAUAGCAACCUAAAUGGACUGAGACUGACACCCAUUGUGUAAUAUAACACUGAUGAUAACUGUUCCAAUCACUGGGCACCUACCCUGUGUCAGGAACUGCAUUUAUGAGCUUUAGGUGUUGACAGUAACCAUAUCGGGAGGUAUUAAUAUUCCUUGUUUCCGCCUUUUUUUUUAGUGUGCCAUUUGAUUCCAAAUGCUAUGCUCUUCCCACUUGGCUCUUCUGUUUUGUUUGUGCAAUCUGGGUUCGUCUCGGAAGUGUGUAUUUAAGGUUCUCUCCAGGUUAGAGAGAAUGUGGCAGCAUGCCUGAUGAUGUCACCCACUGCUUCUGUUAUACCCUGCCCAGCUUACCCCUUCCCUCUGGGCCUUUUAUAGGACCUUGUAUUUAGUCCAACAACAACAAUAGCACAACACCCAUAAACAAAACACCUCUGCAUAUAAUACAAUGUACUUGCCUACUUGCUGACUGAAAGAGCUCCCACAGCCUCCCAGGUGCUGCCCUGCGCUUGGAGCAAAGCCUAUCUGAGGCUGAAGAAUGAGUAAGUCACCACCUGAAUCCUGCCCUCCAGCCAGCUCUCUUCAUCAUGGAAAUUCUUGGAGCAGAGUGGAAGGGAACCUGAGAGGAGAGAUGGCACCUUCACUGAUUCCUCCUUUAUCUUUCCAGACUUCAUGGCUGAGACAGAGCUGAGAGCAGAGAAAACAGACUCAUAAAAUCCUGGCAGAAUCUUUCCAUUCUAAUAGGUAGGUUGGGGUGUGGUGGCUCAUGCCUGUAAUCCUAGCCCUUUGGGAGGCUGAGGCAGGAGGACCACCUGAGCUCAGGAGUUCAAGACCAGCCUGGGCAACAUAGUGAGACCCUGUCUCUACGAAAAAUAAUAAUAAAAAACAAUUGGCCAGGCAUCAUGGCAUGCACCUGUAGUCCCAGCUGUUCAGAAGGCUGAGGUGGGAGGAUCACUUGAGGCCAGCAGGUUGAGGCUGCAGUGAGCUGAGAUGGCGUCACUGUGGGCAACAGUGGGAGACCCUAUCUCAAAAAGCAAACAAACAAACUCUAAUCGCCGUUAAAGUUAAAUGAUCUACAAUCUGGCUUUAUGCUAGGGUAAACUGUCUUCUCACAGCUGGAAAUGAAAAUUCCCUAUAGUAGUUGGAGGGCUCCCGACCCCCAGCCUCCCAACCUACCACACUCCAACUUUGUCUGUGCCCUGCCACGAACACUUUUCUAGAAGAGACCCCUUCUGCCACCCCACGUUUGCCACAGUGGGCUCCUCAAAGUGCUCAUCCAGGAGACUGAAGAUUCUAAGUUUCCAACCCAGAGACUGGAGCCAACAGAAUCCCUUUUCCAGGACUUAGCAUUUGGGACUCACAGAGAUUUCCUCUCCCUCAUUGGGCGACUGGGCUAUAACAGUGGGCUUCAAAGUGAAGCUAGUAGACUGGGGACAUGAAGACGUUGGAGGGGUGCAGAGUCAUGAAUAGCUGUCAAGGAUUGGUUUCCAGAUCUAAAAUUGACACCUAUAGUCUUUCCUAUACAGACAUGCUCUACUGGCGAGUGUUCUGGUUCUGAGAGCUUGUCUUUCUUUAUCAACUGCCCUUUCAAGCUCAAGCUUCCCCUAUUGCACAGAAGAAAUGCAAGCCUCUUCCCUUCUGGAAUCGCACCAUGGGCAGUACUCCAGAGAGUGGAAACUCUCUGACACCAAACAAGGGACAAUUCAAGAAUAAAUGGCACCUGAGUCCCAGGAGGGCAAAGCAGAGUGAGAAAAGAAUUAGUGAGUGAUGUGGAAAGGACAACAUCCUUUCAUCCCAGAGUCAAAGCCCCGGCAAGCCUCCAGGCCUCAGCGCUCCCUCUGUCUUACAGCACAAAAACACCUUUUGUGGAUGGGAAAGGACUCAGGACGUGAUCAGACUGGCCUGCUGAGAGUAUCAUAGGGAAGUGCUGGAUGGGUUCAUGGAAAGAAGUAUACACAGAUGAGGAACAGCAGAAAGGCAUG
rnacentral:lncRNA from 10 species